GUGAAACAAGGGGGGUGUAUAUACACGGGGGAUGGGAAGAUAACUACACACAGGUGAAUCACAUUAGGGCGGGGACAGGUGAUCAUAAAAGAGGGGAAGACAAAGAAAGGCAGAAAGUCAAG